rnacentral:rRNA from 1 species
AUUGAACGCGGCGGCAUGCUUUACACAUGCAAGUCGGACGGCAGCACAGAGAAGCUUGCUUCUUGGGUGGCGAGUGGCGAACGGGUGAGUAACAUAUCGGAACGUACCGAGCAGUGGGGGAUAACUAAUCGAAAGAUUAGCUAAUACCGCAUAUCUUCUGAGGAAGAAAGCAGGGGACCAUUUGGCCUUGCGCUGUUUGAGCGGCCGAUAUCUGAUUAGCUAGUUGGUGGGGUAAAGGCCUACCAAGGCGACGAUCAGUAGCGGGUCUGAGAGGAUGAUCCGCCACACUGGGACUGAGACACGGCCCAGACUCCUACGGGAGGCAGCAGUGGGGAAUUUUGGACAAUGGGCGCAAGCCUGAUCCAGCCAUGCCGCGUGUCUGAAGAAGGCCUUCGGGUUGUAAAGGACUUUUGUCAGGGAAGAAAAGGGCGGGGGUUAAUACCCCCUGUCUGAUG